ACCAGAUUUAUUUCGAGUGUUGAACAUGAUAUCUCACGAGCGAGCGCAGCGAACAAGUGAGAUAUCAUGUUCAACACAAGAAAUAAAUCUGGCAUUUCCAAGCACCCAUGUAUUUUUCUGUUUAUUAUAUAAAGGACAGUCUUUGAAAAGCGAUAAUUUUUACAGAAAAGCGAUAAUUGAAAAGUGAUAAUUUUCACAUGUGAGAUUAUCAUGAAUAAUCUCACAUGUGUGAUUAUCACUUUUAUCAGUGCUCGAAAUCUC